AUCUGGAAGAAGAAAGUAGAGGUUUGGAGGCCAUUUUGCUUUAAUCCAGCAGUCACACAAUCUACUAACACCAAAUUCUAUUUGUCACACAGGCCAGCUCUAAUGCGUUUGGGAGGGGACUCCGUAAGGGCAUCCUCACUGAGUGGGGAGCAGUGUGGAAGCUGGAGUGAAGUAUUAUAUCUGAGAAGAUCUGAAGUGCUUGGGGCAGUAAACAGGGCUUUGGAGGCUGUCUGGAGAAGGAAGCAGGGAGAGCAGCAAAGGAGCUGACUAGAAGAGGAUUUGGAAGGGAACCAAGAUACCCCUUAGGAAUUGAAGAAGUCUUGUGGUGUGUGAGGUCAAUCCUCUCUCCAUUCUCUCCAACAAAACCUUCAGUAAAUUGUCUCUUCUGUGAGUGCAUUGUGGAUGUGUCUUGAGGGGCACAUCAAAUGAGUGAGAGAGACAGAGCACAAGCAAAGGAGGGGCAGAGAGAGAGGGAGACACAGAAU